GACGAAGUCUGACGGAGCAACGCCGCGUGAACGAUGAAGGCCUUCGGGUCGUAAAGUUCUGUUGUUAGGGAAGAACAAGUACCGGAGUAACUGCCGGUACCUUGACGGUACCUAACCAGAAAGCCACGGCUAACUACGUG
rnacentral:rRNA from 1 species